AUGACACCGAAAAUUACCGACUUUGGUCUGUCAAGGUACUUUAAUGAAAAUCAAAGUCGGGCUAUUACCAAAAAUAUGUCUGGAACGCUGGGUUAUAUGGCACCAGAGUUCCAUAGCGGAGACAUAUACACAAUCACAUACAAGUCAGAUAUUUACAGUCUUGGUGUCGUAAUUAUAGAGAUGCUGACAGGAAAAAAGUGGUAUCCAGCAUAUCCUGAUGUUGAUGAUGUACUUCAAAGUUGGAGGAAUAAGUUGGGGAAAUCACCCGAGGACACACAAUUGAAACAGAUACGGUUAUGCACCGAGCUAGGGAUAAUGUGCAUUGAUGGCAACCAAGCAAACAGACCAGAUACAUCACAUAUAAUCAAUAGGCUUGGUGAAACGGGAAAUACAUGUAUUGUAGCUGGUGUGAGUAGUUUAAUAAUACCACAGGUAGAAAGGACUUUGGAAAAUAUGGAGGAUGCCACUAACAACUUGCUUCUGAAUGAUGGUACUGAGAAGAAUGUUAUUCUUGGGUUGGGGGCGGCUAAAAAUGCCUGUGCGGUCCAAGAAUGUCUCAAUGAUACUCCUCAUGUUAUUACAGUCGAAUCUGGUCCAUCAAUGUCUACAGAGGAACUUAACCUUCAAGAGGCCUUGCGGUUCAUUAAGGAUGAUCCUGUGGGAGUGAUUGGAAUAUGGGGUCCAGGUGGAGUAGGGAAAACACACCUUUUGAAAAAUAUCAAGAACUCGCUGGAUGGAGACGUGACCUUUAACUAUGUCGUACAAGUGACAGCUUCAAGGGGGUGUUCGGUGGAAAAGAUCCAAAUUCACAUUGCACGCCAACUUGACCUGAACCAAGAUGGUAAUAUGGAAUCUCAAUCUCGUGUCAUCUUUGACUUCCUGAAGAAGAGAAACUUUCUUAUAUUGCUGGAUGAUCUCUGGGACCAAAUUGAUCUGCAAGCAGUUGACUUGCCAUACCCCCUUGGAAGUGUGAACCAAAUCAAGAGAAAAGUGGUGCUCACAACAAGAUCAAGAAAAAUUUGUGGUCAAAUGGAGGUGAGAAAAGAGUUUAAAGUAACUUGUCUGCGGGAGGAUGAGGCAUGGCAGCUAUUCAAAGAUAAGGUCGGGAACGAAACUCUUUCUUAUAGUCCUCACAUUGGUACUCUUGCAAGAGAACUUGCGAAGGAAAUGAAGGGCUUGCCAUUAGCUUUGAUAACUAUUGGAAGGGCAAUGUAUGCAAAAUUUGACACAAUUGAGUGGGAAUAUGCCAUCCAACAUAUGAAACGGUCAUGUUGCGAUAACGAUGACCCUCUAGAUAUGGAAAGAGUUGUUUUCAGCCAGGUCAAAUUUAGUUUUGAUAGUUUACGCAACAACACUCUGAGGAAAUGUUUUUUGACUUGUGCACUAUGGCCAGAGGAUAACAAUAUUUCCAAAGAAGAGCUCGCUCGAUGUUGGAUUGGCUUAGGUCUAGUGGAUGAGCGAGACAUACAAAGUUCCUACACAAAAGCAUAUAGUCUCAUGGGUGACCUUUCAGCAGCAUGUUUGUUAGAUGGUUGUGGAAAAUUGUAUGAUUCUGUUAAAAUGCAUGAUGUGGUUCGUGACAUGGCUUUAUGGAUCUCUUGUGGCUGUGGUAAAAACAAUGGCAAGUGGUUUGCCUAUGGAGGAGUUGCCCAAGAUGAAAAAUUUAGUAUCCCUUGGAGCCAAGUUGAGUGUGUCUCAUUGGUGAAUAACUAUUUGUCAGAACUUCCUCCUGUUGGUACCAAUCCUCGUCACAUGCGGAUGUUAUGCCUUAGAAAUAAUCGGUUGAAUGAAAGUAUGAUAGCUAAAGAAGUCAAGAAAUUCACUUCACUGACAUAUUUGGAUUUGAGCUUCAACCAUCUGAGGGAGAUACCUAAAGAAUUAUGUUCUUUGGCAAACCUGGAACACCUUGAUUUGUCCCAUAAUUAUUAUAUAAAAGAAGUGCCUCGUCACUUUGGAAACCUCAUUAAGCUCAAGUUCUUGUACCUUGAAGGGACUAUCAUACAAAGGUUACCAGAGGGGGUCAUAUCUAGCCUUCAAGCAUUGCAAGUAAUAGACUUCAAAAUUCAAGUUGGUGAUGACCUUUUUCCAAGAAUGCUUCAAGAGUUGGGCACCCUAUCCCACUUGAAAGCAGUUGGCAUCUAUGUCCUUUUUUUCCCUCAGUAUGAAUUAUUUCUAAGAGAAAGCAGCAAGCUCGCCAUCAGGUAUUUAAAUCUGCACAUACUCACGACGUGUUCACUUGACCCCUCUGCUAUUCAUGACUUCACACGAGGAACCUUGCAUGAACUGGAAAUUGAAAUGUGCGACAUUAAGGAAAUUAUAUUAGGGCACAAGUUGGCAGGACCAACCUGUUGUUUUGGUACUCUCAGUCGGCUCAUUUUGACAGCUUUGUCAGACUUGAGAGAGAUAACUUGGAUGGGAACAUCUCCAGCAUCUCUUUUUCCAAGGCUUGCCUACUUGAUGGUGGGGGGCUGCGGGAAGCUAAAUGACCUCUCUUGGGCGAUCUAUCUGCCUUGCCUCGAACAACUCAUAAUAGUUGCCUGUGAUUUGAUGCAGCAAGCAUUUACUAGGCACCUUGGUGAUGACAAGUUCAGCGAACAAGACAAUGUGAAGACGUUUCCCUGCCUCAAAUAUCUGAACAUUUCGAAGUGCAGAUCGCUGGUCAGUAUUGGAGAUCCCAAUGUGACAUUUCCAUCCCUAGAGCGACUGGAGCUUGGAUAUUCUCGAGAAUUGAAGAGUCUUCCUUUCAAGAUGGACAGCUUGCCACGAAGAUUGCAGCUACUGGAGAUUGAUGUUAAAUCCUGGGAGAGAUUGGACCUCGAUGGUGUCAAAUCUUUCCUGCAACCCAGACUUAAAUUGUACUAG
rnacentral:rRNA from 1 species